AUUUAUGUAGUUUAACAAAAACAUUACAUUUUCACUGUAAAGUUAGAUUUCAUCUUUUAAAUA
rnacentral:tRNA from 1 species